rnacentral:rRNA from 1 species
UACGGGGGGGGCAAGCGUUGUUCGGAUUUACUGGGCGUAAAGGGCGCGUAGGCGGCCACCGCAAGUCGGUUGUGAAAUCUCCGGGCUUAACCCGGAAAGGUCAAUCGAUACUGCGGGGCUAGAGUGCAGAAGGGGCAACUGGAAUUCUCGGUGUAGCGGUGAAAUGCGUAGAUAUCGAGAGGAACACCUGCGGCGAAGGCGGGUUGCUGGGCUGACACUGACGCUGAAGCGCGAAAGCUAGGGGAGCAAACAGG